rnacentral:rRNA from 1 species
UACGUAGGGUGCAAGCGUUGUCCGGAAUUAUUGGGCGUAAAGAGCUCGUAGGCGGUUUGUCGCGUCGAAUGUGAAAACCCGGGGCUCAACCCCGGGCCUGCAUUCGAUACGGGCAGACUAGAGUUCGGUAGGGGAGUCUGGAAUUCCUGGUGUAGCGGUGAAAUGCGCAGAUAUCAGGAGGAACACCGGUGGCGAAGGCGGGACUCUGGGCCGAUACUGACGCUGAGGCGCGAAAGCGUGGGGAGCAAACGGG